GACGAACGCUGGCGGCGUGCUUAACACAUGCAAGUCGAACGGAAAGGCCCUGCUUUUGUGGGGUGCUCGAGUGGCGAACGGGUGAGUAACACGUGAGUAACCUGCCCUUGACUUUGGGAUAACUUCAGGAAACUGGGGCUAAUACCGGAUAGGAGCUCCUGCUGCAUGGUGGGGGUUGGAAAGUUUCGGCGGUUGGGGAUGGACUCGCGGCUUAUCAGCUUGUUGGUGGGGUAGUGGCUUACCAAGGCUUUGACGGGUAGCCGGCCUGAGAGGGUGACCGGCCAAAGGGGGCCUGAGGUACGGCCCAGACUCCGACGGGAGGCAGCAGUGGGGAAUAUUGCACAAUGGGCGGAAGCCGGAUGCAGCAACGCCGCGUGCGGGAUGACGGCCUUCGGGUGGUAAACCGCUUUGGCCUGUGACGAAGCGUGAGUGACGGUAAUGGGUAAAGAAGCACCGGCUAACUACGUG
rnacentral:rRNA from 1 species